UACGGGGGGAGCAAGCGUUGUUCGGAAUUAUUGGGCGUAAAGCGCGUGUAGGCGGCCCUGCAAGUCGGGUGUGAAAUCCCACGGCUCAACCGUGGAAGUGCAUUCGAAACUGCAGGGCUAGAGUCCUGGAGAGGAAGGUGGAAUGCUUGGUGUAGAGGUGAAAUUCGUAGAUAUUAGGAAGAACACCGGUGGCGAAGGCGGCCCACUGGAUCGGUACUGACGCUGAGGUGCGAAAGCGUGGGGAGCAAACAGG
rnacentral:rRNA from 1 species